GAGAGCCUGGCUAGGCAGGCUGGAAACAGUAGCUCUUAACGGUCCCCCGCCCGUUGGUGGCAAGGCGGCUGGACUGGAAUCCCAGCAGGCGACAUGCGAGGAGGCGGGCAGCCCAGGAGGGUUGGACACGGCAAUGUGGACCUCGCCGCUUCCACAACGAUGCUGGCUACUGAUCGCGUGCACUUCCUUGCCAAAGAAAAUUUGUGCUGUGCACUAACAUGCAAUACAAAUACUGAUGAAAAUAAAACUAUUGCCCUCCUACCAAAUGAGAAAUUAAUGUUAUGACUGGAUGAAGACAAUUGUGAAGAAACUGCACUUUGAGGUUGUCUAUCUCUGUAUUCUGAUGGAAAAGCGUGGAGUUUAGAAGCACUGCUCACUCCUUCAGUUUCUAACAAGUUUGAGACUAUGGUUAGGUGGUGAGGAAGGCAGGCUCAGCACCCAAGCCUUGGGGAGACGCAGAAAGGGCCCAUCCCAGGCACUCAGGUGGAGGUGGUCUGUCCUAGAGAACGUUCCAUGUGGAUUUGAGAAGAAUAUAUAUUCUCAUGUUGGAUGCAGUGCUGUGCAUAUGUUUGUUAGGUUUAGUUGUUUUAUGUUGUUGUUCAUGUUUUCUAUUUUUUAUCUUCUGUCUACUUGUUCUAUCCAUUAAUAUAAGUGAAGCAUUAAAGUCUCCAACUAUUACUGUUGAA
rnacentral:lncRNA from 1 species